GGUUUUUGCACCUUUGCUAAUACCUCCCAGUGGUCAAUUUGAAACGAUACAGAGAAGAUUAGCAUGGCCCCUGCACUAAGGAUGACACGCUUCUCAAAGAGUGCUACAAGUUUUUU
rfam:Fonsecaea erecta strain CBS 125763 Scaff3, whole genome shotgun sequence.